UGUGAACUGCAGGACACAUGAACAUCGAUAAGUUGAACGCAUAUUGCGCGUCGGGCGACACAGCUCGACGCACAUAUCAUUGAGAGUCCAUAUUUGUUAGUCGGAGACACUUACGAGCGUCCGUGCCACCCGUUGGGCCCCGUGCCCGGGGUGGACCCACGCGGUCACUCGUUUCCUGGGGUAGCGCCUCGCAGAGAGCGGUGCCCUUAAGACAGUGGAGCGCGUUCCCUCGUCCGUUAGCGACCGUCACAAGCGCCCGGCGUUGGACCAACACCUCACCUCACCACCAUAGAGUGUCGAUGCGUGUUCGGACCCCAGUCGUCGGGAGCGACGGUACCAGGUCGGGAUCGUUCGUGUCACCCACUGAGUCGGGUGUACCCCCACAGGGCUACGGCCGGGGGUACAGACAUGAGAGAGAGCACUCCUUCAGUGGAGCUAUGUGGACCUCAAUUGAUGUGUGACUACCCCCUAAAUUUAAAGCAU
rnacentral:rRNA from 1 species